UCUUCCUGAAUUUUUUGUUUUUCUUUUUCAGUGAUAUGUGUACAUUAGAAAGCAAGAUCUUUUAAAAAUAUAUCCCAGAAGAAAACAAUGGAAAGUUAAAGUUUUGUUACCCAAAAAACAAUGAAGCUUAUCUUAAGAGAUUUCAAAGAUAAGCUAUGGCUUAUUCACUGACAUUGAUUGAAUAUACUGUACCCCAUUUGCCUUGGUUUAUUGAUGCUACACCAGGAAUCAUGACAUUAUGUAAUAUGCUGAAUGAUAAAUAAGCACAUGCUAAGCCAGAAAGCUGAAUGUAAAGUGCAAACAUUAAUCACAUUUUUUACAAGCCUGGUUCACACAAGAUCCUAAACUAUUGAUGGGUGAACCCUGGUCUACAAGCUUUAUGCUGUACUCCAUCCCAUGUAUAUAUCCUUAAAUGGUCAUCCAAUUCAUACUACUGAAAUUUAGCAGCAAAACUGUAGUCUUUGUGGCAGCACAAUUUACCUUUUAGCAAAAUUAAAUCUUUGUCAGGCUUACUGUAAUUGGUUCGAAUUGAAAGACAAAUUAGUAUUAUUUCUCUGCCGCACAGAACAGAAAAGGACCAAAAAAAUCUCAGUUCUCCUGUGCUCUUUCCCCAUCUGUAUGAAGUCUUCCCAAAUCUUUUAGCAAUAAGGAAGUGGUGCCCAUAAGAAAAAAGAUUCCCAAUUUUUACUAAUUAGUCAUUUAUUCAAUAAACCAUGAUUAAGCAAACCAUUAAUGUAUUGUACAAACCCAGAUAAUUAAAUCUUGGUUCUUUAAAGAAGGGAUCCCAUUCCAGUCCCCCUGUGAGGGAGGCUGGUAGUUUCAAAUUUAGAGAGAGAUGAUAGAUGAUGGAUGGAUAGAUAGGUGAUAUAGAAGAUGAGAGAGAGGGAGGGGGGGCUGGUAUUUCAAAGGGUCUUAAAGACCUGGCUCUUCACCCGCCUUUGGAGAGAAUGGCUGAUGCUUGCUUUCUGUUUCCCUCUGGGUUUAUUCUCUUUGCCAUCAUUGUUCUUUUGUGCUGUUUUUGUGGGUUUUGUAUUGUUUAUUUUAAAAUGUUUUAAUUGUAAACCUCUGAGUUGCUGGAAGCUGGAUGGCAUACAUAUUUAAUAAAUUAUCAAGCUAGAUUUCUGCUGUAGUUCAUGCUAUGCUAAAUUUCAGUUUGUAUUACCAUGGUUUAGUGGUAGAUAGUUAAUCCAUUUAUUUGCAACUAUAGGUUUUAGUAAAAAUCCUUAUAAAAUUACAGCAAUCCUUACCGGCUCAAUUCAUCGCCCCUACAAUUAAUAGCAGUUAUCCGUCAACAUCUUCCUUGCAGUCACUGCAAGCAAAGCAACUUGUUUUAUUACACGUUGCUCUACACUGGUCAGCAGGAAAUGGAUUGCAAUAAACUAUGAUUAGUUUCAACCCAUCAGACAACUGUUCCUGUACAACCCCAAGACUUAACGAUCAGCAAAAGAGGGCAACAAUGGCAACCAUCCAUGAAAGAAUGGCUGAUUUUCAUCCUGAGCACAAGGGUCUGGUACUGUGUUUUGCUCUCAGGGGAAAAAAAAAAAAAAAGAUUUCUGCAUUGAAAUCUCUGCCUGACAGCCAAGAGAGGAUUUCUGUCGGACCAGACAGCAUGUGCCAAGGGCUGGAACAGCAGGAACUUAGCAGAUGGGUUUCACAGACAACUGGCACCACACCACCGCUCCAUGCCCUAGUAGGCACCAGCCCUUUCGUGGAUGCUAAAUUUUUAAUUCUGAAAUUUAAAAGAACCAGCAAAUGUCCUGGGGGUUUCAAGCUGCUUCUUGAUUGAGAGCGGGCAGACGCAGCGGCUGUCAAACCAAAGUAAACAGCGCCUCUUUGCUUGCCUAAUUAAGAGCACCAAUCUUUACCUCUUCAAACCAGUCAGCAGUCUCGAUUUCCCAAGGUCUUCAAGUGCUCUUCUUUUAAAGGGCUAUUCAUCGUGGCCAGCCAUUUUUUUUUUCCUCCCAAGAAGCAAGCAAAAUGGGAAAAGAGCAAAAACACGGAUGGAGGCUCAGUCGCAAUGAAACAGCCCACACUCUGGAUGUGCCAGUGUGAUUGCAGAAGGACAGGACUUGAGUGCAAUCCUUUCAUCUGGAUUUUUUUUCCGGUCAGCCAGCUGGUUUUUGUUUUUGAAAAGCCUUUUGCUGUCCACGAUAUUAUAUCUUUCAGUGACAAGUAAAAAUUCACAAAGUAAAACAUUCCCCAACAUG